rnacentral:rRNA from 1 species
UACAGAGGUGGCAAGCGUUUGUUCGGAUUCAUUGGGCGUAAAGGGUGCGUAGGCGGUCGUGCAAGUCGGAUGUGAAAUCUCAGGGCUCAACCCUGAAACUGCAUUCGAUACUGCGUGGCUAGAGUGCUGGAGAGGAGACUGGAAUUUACGGUGUAGCAGUGAAAUGCGUAGAUAUCGUAAGGAAGACCAGUGGCGAAGGCGGUUCUCUGGGGACGGUACUGACGCUGAGACGCGAAAGCGUGGGGAGCGAACAGG